UUAGGGGUAACAGGUGUAGCAAUACAUGCUGACGACCGGCGCACGGGUGCGUAACACGUAUAUAAUCUACCUUUUACUGGAGAAUAGCCCGAAGAAAUUCGGAUUAAUACUCCAUAAUAAUAUUGAGGGGCAUCUCUUGAUAUUUAAAGUUCAGACGGUAAAAGAUGAGUAUGCGCGAUAUUAGCUAGUUGGUGAGGUAACGGCUCACCAAGGCGACGAUAUCUAGGGGUACUGAGAGGUUACACCCCCACACUGGUACUGAGACACGGACCAGACUCCUACGGGAGGCAGCAGUAAGGAAUAUUGGACAAUGGUCGCAAGACUGAUCCAGCCAUGCCGCGUGCAGGAUGACUGCCCUAUGGGUUGUAAACUGCUUUUAUACGGGAAUAAACCCGGGUACGUGUACCCGGCUGAAUGUACUGUAAGAAUAAGGGUCGGCUAACUUCGUGCCAGCAGCCGCGGUAAGACGAAGGACCCAAGCGUUAUCCGGAUUCAUUGGGUUUAAAGGGUGCGUAGGCGGGUUGAUAAGUCAGUGGUGAAAGCCCAACGCUUAACGUUGGAACUGCCAUUGAUACUGUCGAUCUUGAAUGUGUUUGAUGUGGGCGGAAUAUGACAUGUAGCGGUGAAAUGCUUAGAUAUGUCAUAGAACACCGAUUGCGAAGGCAGCUCACAAAGCCACUAUUGACGCUGAGGCACGAAAGCGUGGGGAUCAAACAGGAUUAGAUACCCUGGUAGUCCACGCCGUAAACUUUGAUCACUCGCUGUUGGCGAUACACUGUCAGCGGCUAAGCGAAAGCGUUAAGUGAUCCACCUGGGGAGUACGGUCGCAAGACUGAAACUCAAAGGAAUUGACGGGGGCCCGCACAAGCGGUGGAGCAUGUGGUUUAAUUCGAUGAUACGCGAGGAACCUUACCAGGGCUUGAAAGUUAGCGACUUACCGUGAAAGCGGUGAUCCCUUCGGGGCGCGAACUAGGUGCUGCAUGGCUGUCGUCAGCUCGUGCCGUGAGGUGUUGGGUUAAGUCCCGCAACGAGCGCAACCCCUACUUCUAGUUGCCAACAGGUAAUGCUGGGGACUCUAGAGGAACUGCCCGCGCAAGCGGUGAGGAAGGUGGGGACGACGUCAAGUCAUCACGGCCCUUACGUCCUGGGCUACACACGUGCUACAAUGGCGGAGACAACGGGCAGCUACACUGCGAAGUGAUGCUAAUCUCUAAACUCCGUCUCAGUUCGGAUUGAAGUCUGCAACUCGACUUCAUGAAGCUGGAAUCGCUAGUAAUCGCGUAUCAGCAAUGACGCGGUGAAUACGUUCCCGGGCCUUGUACACACCGCCCGUCAAACAAUGGAAGCUGGGAGUACCUAAAGUCAGUAGUCGCAAGACGCUGCCUAGGGUAAAACCGGUAACUGGUGUUAAGUCGAAACAAGGUAGCCGUACCGGAAGGUGCGGCUG
rnacentral:rRNA from 1 species